CCUACGGGCGGCAGCAGUGAGGAAUAUUGGUCAAUGGACGAGAGUCUGAACCAGCCAAGUAGCGUGAAGGAUGACUGCCCUAUGGGUUGUAAACUUCUUUUAUAUGGGAAUAAAAUGUGCCACGUGUGGGAUUUUGUAUGUACCAUAUGAAUAAGGAUCGGCUAACUCCGUGCCAGCAGCCGCGGUAAUACGGAGGAUCCGAGCGUUAUCCGGAUUUAUUGGGUUUAAAGGGAGCGUAGGUGGAUUGUUAAGUCAGUUGUGAAAGUUUGCGGCUCAACCGUAAAAUUGCAGUUGAAACUGGCAGUCUUGAGUACAGUAGAGGUGGGCGGAAUUCGUGGUGUAGCGGUGAAAUGCUUAGAUAUCACGAAGAACUCCGAUUGCGAAGGCAGUUCACUGGACUGCAACUGACACUGAGGCUCGAAAGUGUGGGUAUCAAACAGGAUUAGAUACCCCAGUAGUC
rnacentral:rRNA from 1 species